AGUUACUUCUGUAAAAUACAUCAAUACCGAAGUAUGUCGCUUUUCCGUAAAUUUAUUAGUGCUCUAUUGCUGGUUGCAAUUUUAUUCAGCGUCUGCGAAUGUAGGCCGCAAGGAUUGCCUCUGACACCAGAAGGGGCACUUGGAUUGGCAACCGGUGUUUUAAGUGGUCUUCCUGGGGCGGUGAACUAGCAGCAGGUUAUUUAUUUAAAUAAAUUUAUCUACUUCAUAUAACCUGGAAAUAUAUUGAAGGAACUUACAUAACAAUAAAAUUGGGGGAAGUAAAAAGA